rnacentral:tRNA from 1 species
AACUCGGAGGUGUUACACAUAAGAUUGCAAAUCUUAAGAGGCAACUAACAACUGCCCGGGUUU